ACUAUGUUGUAAGAGGUGGUGAAAAGAGAGACUUGCAGAAGGAAUUGAUCGGGAGUUAUUGCAACAGGUGGGUUGUUCUGCUUAGCAAAGUUAAUGAAGUUCGUUCGUUUGCUUCUUCUUGGAACUCAUCCACACAACAUGCACCACCGGCAUCAUUCUCAUGUUUGGCUCGGCAAAGUAAACUCUUCAGCUGCAGAUUAAAAAGGAGGUGUGUGGUUGAAUCUGUCUUUUGGGACUAAAGAUGACGAUAGACGGUGAUGCUGCUGCUUCUGACGGUCUGUUCGGAUCCAACUGUUUAGCCCCUCCUGCAGCCAGCUGUGAGUCCGAGCUGUCGUGUGGUUUAGUCCUUCCCACAACCUCCUCAGGUCUUUCUCCUGGCUGUUUGUCUGGUUGGCUUCUGUCCAUCUUCAAAAUACAGGAUUACACGCUUUCAGAACUUCUGACCUUUUCGAUUUGACGGUGGAGCCAUUUCAUUGUUGCGUCACCCUGCCGGGCCUUGUGUCAUCGGCUGAGAGUGACACACCCCCUUCACCACUGCUGUGUUUACAAACGAGAGCGAGAAUACUCGCGUUGGUGCUGCGCGGCGUUAGCUGCCGACCUGAAAACAGCCUUCCGCGGCGGUCUUCUUCACAGCUGGUAGGAUGGCAGAGGAGUCAGGCGUCAGCACGGUCGGAGUCGGAGCGUCCACAUCACACACUCUGAAUUGCACUACGCCAUGUUUGGAGAUCACAACGUCAUGAGGGGGAACAAAACCAACUCAGGACUCGCUAGUCCAUUCGUCCCCUCUGCCCCUUCACCACCAGCACUGCAGGCGACUUUGCCCGCCCCUCUGACUCCAUCAGGCAGUCAGGAUGUUGAAGACUCCACUGACUGACUCACACACGAUCUCUGCACUCUCCCUGCUUUGGACCAGCACCAAAUACUCUACCUCAAUUACACGCUCACCGGGACACAGCAGCCUCACUACAGGGGAUAAUAAUGAGACUAUAUAUAUAUAUAUUUAUAUAUUUAUAUUAUUUAACAGUUUGCUCUCUAGACAACACAGAACCUUUGUAAGUGCAGGAGUUCCUGGUCCACUGAUCACACUGAUGCGCAAGACACGUGGCAGCUAGGACGAUAACAACAACAACAAACAUGGAGGAAUCCCUGAACAAAAGCUAGUGAUGUUUUUCACUACCACUCUGAAUGUAUUCGAAAUUCAUAUAAAAUUGAAAUUCUUAUUCUAAUAUCUUUUCAAGAUAUUAAAAGAGCUUUAGUUUAAAUAAGCUGAUAUAAACACUUGAAUAUAG